UGCGGAGGGAUCAUUACCGAGUUUACAACUCCCAAACCCCUGUGAACAUACCUAUACGUUGCCUCGGCGGAUCAGCCCGCGCCCCGUAAAACGGGACGGCCCGCCCGAGGACCCCUAAACUCUGUUUUUAGUGGAACUUCUGAGUAAAACAAACAAAUAAAUCAAAACUUUCAACAACGGAUCUCUUGGUUCUGGCAUCGAUGAAGAACGCAGCAAAAUGCGAUAAGUAAUGUGAAUUGCAGAAUUCAGUGAAUCAUCGAAUCUUUGAACGCACAUUGCGCCCGCCAGUAUUCUGGCGGGCAUGCCUGUUCGAGCGUCAUUUCAACCCUCAAGCUCAGCUUGGUGUUGGGACUCGCGGUAACCCGCGUUCCCCAAAUCGAUUGGCGGUCACGUCGAGCUUCCAUAGCGUAGUAAUCAUACACCUCGUUACUGGUAAUCGUCGCGGCCACGCCGUAAAACCCCAACUUCUGAAUGUUGACCUCGGAUCAGGUAGGAAUACCCGCUGAACUUAAGCAUAUCAAUAAGGCGGGAGGAA
rnacentral:rRNA from 1 species